rnacentral:rRNA from 1 species
GACGAACGCUGGCGGCGUGCUUAACACAUGCAAGUCGAACGGAAAGGCCCUGCUUUUGUGGGGUGCUCGAGUGGCGAACGGGUGAGUAACACGUGAGUAACCUGCCCUUGACUUUGGGAUAACUUCAGGAAACUGGGGCUAAUACCGGAUAGGAGCUCCUGCUGCAUGGUGGGGGUUGGAAAGUUUCGGCGGUUGGGGAUGGACUCGCGGCUUAUCAGCUUGUUGGUGGGGUAGUGGCUUACCAAGGCUUUGACGGGUAGCCGGCCUGAGAGGGUGACCGGCCACAUUGGGACUGAGAUACGGCCCAGACUCCUACGGGAGGGAGCAGGGGGGAAUAUUGCACAAUGGGCGGAAGCCUGAUGCAGCAACGCCGCGUGCGGGAUGAAGGCCUUUGGGGUGUAAACCGCUUUCGCCUGUGACGAAGCGGGAGGGACGGUAAUGGGUAAAGAAGCACCGGCUAACUACGUG